CGUGGUGUCCCUGAGGGGCUGGGACUAGUUGAGUUGAUUAAAGCCUCACCUGGCAUAUAUGUGCUUAGUAGACAUUGGCUAGUGUUAAUAGUGUUAUCUGGGCUACCCACUGAGGUCGGACCUGACCAAUCACACCUGAUUCUCAUAAAUGUCUUUUUUCUUUAAAUUAUAACCUUAAACUGUUUGCUUUGGGGCAGAGAGUAGGUGGAGAUGGCGGCUCACAACCAUUGGAAAUUCCAGUCCCAGGGAAUCUGAUGCCCUCUUCUGGCUUCCACCGGCACAUGCAGGCACACAUAAAUUAUUCGCUGAAUCUGAAGAGGCACUUGUCUUGUAAGCUUGACAGCCGAGUUCCAUGACAACCAACUCCACAAAGUUGUCCUCUAAUCCCCACAUGCAUGCUGUGACUGCAUGCACACACACGCAUUAUGCUCACACACAAAUAAUAUUUUUCUUUCUUUGCUGUUUUGUUUUACAAGACAGGGUUUCUCUGUGUGGGACAUAAUAGAUAUUUUUCAAAGGUUUACUGAUACAUGACUUUUCCAUAGGCAUUUAAAUACAUUAAGAAGCAUAAGGCUAAACCGGGCAGUGGUCGCACACACCCGAUUCAGUAUGCUGAGCACUGGACUUGGCAUAAAUUGAGGAAUUUGGUGCUGCUACUGGGGUAGUAGUCUUCUGUGUCCCUGCCCUUCUCCUGGACAAUGUCUGGAUAAACAGUGUGGUUCCCAGCUGAGACCGUCCACCCUAGCUGAGCAUGUGGGCCUUUUCCCCUGCCUCCUUGGAGACAGUAGUAGGGUCACAUGCUGAUAAAGUGCCAUGGUCACAACUCCAGCUGUGCCUCUGUUGUAGCAGCUGCAGACUUCUUCCUCCCGACAGACUGGAAGUCCUACAACAUGGCUAUGGCCCACUCCCUGAAAGCCUUCCCAUUGUCUGGGGAGGAGACAGCCUGAAAACAAGCAAGCCAAAAGCAAAGCAAGAAGCAAAAGCUGGGACGGGAGGCUUGAGCUGGAUUUACCAGGUGCUUCUUCCUCCCUUUUAAAGACAGGGCCUCAUGUUUCCCACAGCGGCCUCAAAUCCUUCUGUGCAGCCUGAAAGGGUGACUUGAAUUUCUGAUCUUCUUACCUUCACCUGCUGAGGACUGGUCUGAAGUGCGCGCCUCCAUGUCUGGUUUAUGUGGUACUGGGGAUCAAAUACACGCCUUCACGAAUGCUAGACAAGCAUGCUACCAACUGAAGUGCAUCUGCUGUCCCAGAGAUGGGACACAGGAGAAGCCUGCAUUCUCAGCCUCUUGUCUAACCUGCGAUGACUCCUAGUUAAACUGAAGUAGUGAUUCUGAGGAUGCCACAGAGAGAAUGUUUUCUAGGGAAGCUAGCGAAAGCAGUCAGUGGGGUCAUUUGAGAAUCUCCUCUCUCCCUCCCCCGCUUCUCUAAGCAUGCACACUCUCCCCACACCCAGACUACUGUUCUGAGGAAAGAGAGCCUAUGGAGGACAUGAUUUUUAAACAGAAAUAAUAGGGCUUGGUUUCAAAAAGCUGAUUCCUAAGGGUUUAGGUCCAGGAAAGCGUGGCCAGACGUGGUGUGACUCCCCUGGACUCACCGUGGUGUGUGCUUGUUUGCACAUCCUUAUGGCCACUGUGUGCGUGCACAGGUUCAUCACAAGGCAAGGAAGGGUGCCCACCAACCCUGCAGGGUGCCUGGCAGUGAAAGACAGGCACGUCUCUGUGUCCAGCCCUCUCUGUGUAUCAAAGGGUGUGGGAAGCUCUGAUUAAGGAAGCAUUUUCCUGCUUGAUGAAAAAAUAAUUCAGUUACCAGCCUCUCCCUUUGGUAGAUUAUACACUAUACAUAGACAUAAAAUGGGAAAAAAAUCACUCCUGGACGUACCUCAAGUUCUGUGUCUUGUUUGGGGACUGUGGGCCUCUUAGAAUUAGUAUUUAUAGCCCAGAACAUAAUUGAUGUCUAAUACACAAUCCACAAUAGUCCUGUACAGUUGGAUCAGCCUCCACCCAUGCACAUACCCAUUAAACACCAUAAUAGUAAAACUUAUGGUGGUUUGCAAUUGCUGCCAUCUGUAAAGGGCCUGCCGCACCCCAGGCUCACCACUUUCCUUCCUUUUGUCAUCAAAGACACCACGAUGUCAUGUCCCCUGCCCUAGCACCAGCAGCCAUGGUUCCCAUUUCCCUGUUGCAGGACAGGCUCUUUCUCCACUGUACUGGUGGAUCUGGAAAGGACGUGGUACCGGGUAGGUGGAAGCUGCAGCUCAGGCCGGGGCAGCAGACACCCCUAGCCCUCUUGUCUUCCUGGCAGCGGGUUGCUCUUUCAGCUCUGUGAACUGCCCGCUCUAGCUCUUUCUUCCCUCAUCCUAUUUCGCUGGUACCUGUCCCUCAUCGUGCUUCUCUGGCUCGGUCACUCUACUUAGCAGAGUAGGUUCUCACUGCAUGCUUAGGAGUGACAGUGGCUGGUGACCUGUCCGUGCGACAGAUGUAGGCUGGGCAUGACAGUACACACGAGGAAUCUUAGCAUGUGGAGGUGGUUCAGAGCUAACCUGGGCUACAUGAAACCCCGUUUCAAAAGAUCAAAGGGGAGGGGAAAAAAAGACGAGCAAAGAGGUUGACAGAUGACAGGAAGGAUUUCAGAGUCACCGUGUUUUCACAGAAGUUUGCACUGAAGACAAAUGACAGGGCUCAGACUAGGACUAUGGCCGUGCUUCCUGUUCUGUGCUUCGUAGCUGCCUCCAUUUGGCUCAGGUCCUGAUUCACAGAGCACUGACCUGCACAGAUGACACACUGAAGGAGAGCCCUUCCCACAGUAUUUGCUCAUGUAGGAAUUCACCAGGACAGAGGGGCACUUAGACAAGCAUAUGCAAGUGUAUGACUUAGGCCUUCUGAACCUGGGGUAGAAAUCAUUACUCAGUCUAAGUGGAAAACAGUGCUCGGGGCAAGAUUGCACACUUAGUCAAAAUCACACUUUAUUUAGUAAUCUGAAAAUCUUUCAGCUUUGAGUUUCUGCCAAGUGAGUGGAUAGUUGGACAUAUGUCCUCUGAGAGUGUGUGGACAUGCCCACAGAUGCUUUUGUGUUAGCAUUAUUACAGCCCUGGCUUUAUUAAUGCUCAAACCUUGAGUAACAUGUUCCCUGAGUGUGACACCCUUUUCCCUAAGGUUGUUUCUCAGACUCCAACAAUGACAGGUCUCCGAGACUAAGUAUUCGAACUGCCUGAGAAUGUGGCAUGGGUGUGGCUUGUAUCCUUGACCUCUUAGAGAAGCUUCUCUGGGUAGAUGGGAUUAAGUGCUGUGGCAGUUUCUCUUCAGAGUUCUGCAUUUUCACUUGUAAAUACCUGGGAGGUAGACAUGGUUGUAUUAGAUGCUGACCUACUGGGGGGGGGUGUAAAAACUCUACUUCUUUCUCUUGAAUUACAUUUCAUGCUGUGCCAAGGACCUCUGCAGAGAGUGGCACUGUAGUGCUGGCUGCUGGGAUUCCCCAGAGAGGAGCUGCAGGCUCUGGGCACAGUGCCACUGCCUCUGCAGUCAGAUGCACAGAGGGCCCUGCCCACCACUCUGGCAGCAGCUGUUCUCCUAAGGAGUAGGCACCAUCUACUGGAAGAGCUGCUUGGGUGCUUCUUAGGGGAGUUAAACAAUUCACGACUCCAUUUCAUGCCACCAUUCUGGCUCACAUUCUGAGUUACUGUGCUACUCUGUAUCUGUGAGCAACUGUAAGUAUGUUUUUGUAUAUUCUUGAUGACAUCACUUUUUAAAGCAAGCUUAAGCAGGCUGGGCAGAACCUCCAUGGACUCUGGGCAGGUGUCAUGGGCUGCUUGUAAUCCCAGCACUCAAACUAGCUAUAGAGUUGGCCAGGUGUAACCUUCAACUUCUGGUCCUUCUGCCGCCCCCUCCCAAGGACUGAGAUUACAGGUGUGUGCCACCGUGCUCAGUGUAUGUGGCACCAAGGAGUGAGACCAGGGCUUCAUGUAUGCUGGGCAAGCACUCCACUGACCGAGCUACAUCCCCAGACCUCUGUACCUCUUCCUGAGACUCGGGCACUGUGAUGGUGUUUCCUCCUGGAUCCGAACAGAGGUGAGGUUCAGGGCCUUGAUCCUACAAAGGCAACAGUUCUGUCAGUGAGAGAUGGCUGAGCUUCCCCAGUCUCCCAUGGAAGGUCUUCUGUGCCUUAUACUUUCCAAGGGUCAUAAACAACACAAACAUCUGAUAACAUCUCCCUGAGCCUGAAGCACUAGGGUAGGAUUUCUUCUGUGUUCUUUUACAGAUUAAACAAAAUAAAUAAAGGUUUGAAGGGUAUCACGA